rnacentral:rRNA from 1 species
UACGGAGGGAGCUAGCGUUGUUCGGAAUUACUGGGCGUAAAGCGCACGUAGGCGGCUUUGCAAGUUAGAGGUGAAAGCCCGGGGCUCAACUCCGGAAUUGCCUUUAAAACUGCAUCGCUAGAGUUGUGGAGAGGUAAGUGGAAUUCCGAGUGUAGAGGUGAAAUUCGUAGAUAUUCGGAAGAAUACCAGUGGCGAAGGCGACUUACUGGACACAUACUGACGCUGAGGUGCGAAAGCGUGGGGAGCAAACAGG